CGUAGGGUCCGAGCGUUGUCCGGAAUUAUUGGGCGUAAAGGGCUCGUAGGCGGUUUGUCGCGUCGGGAGUGAAAACCAUGGGCUUAACUCAUGGCUUGCUUCCGAUACGGGCAGACUAGAGGUAUGCAGGGGAGAAUGGAAUUCCUGGUGUAGCGGUGAAAUGCGCAGAUAUCAGGAGGAACACCGGUGGCGAAGGCGGUUCUCUGGGCAUUACCUGACGCUGAGGAGCGAAAGUGUGGGGAGCGAACAGGAUUAGAUACCCUGGUAGUCCACACCGUAAACGUUGGGCGCUAGGUGUGGGGCCUAUUCCAUGGGCUCCGUGCCGUAGCUAACGCAUUAAGCGCCCCGCCUGGGGAGUACGGCCGCAAGGCUA
rnacentral:rRNA from 1 species